ACAAUAGCGUAUAUUAAAGUUGUUGCAGUUAAAAAGCUCGUAGUUGAAUUUCGGGGUUAGUAGGUUGGUCAUGCCUCUGGUAUGUACUGGUCUCACUGAUUCCUCCUUCCUGAUGAACCUUAAUCCCAUUAAUUUGGUGUUUUGGGGAAUUUGGACUGUUACUUUGAAAAACUUAGAGUGUUUAAAGCAAGCUAACGCUUGAAUACAUUAGCAUGGAAUAAUGAAAUAGGACGUUCGAUCCUAUUUUGUUGGUUUCUAGGAUUGACGUAAUGAUUAAUAGGGAUAGUUGGGGGCAUUAGUAUUCAAUUGUCAGAGGUGAAAUUCUUGGAUUUAUUGAAGGCUAACUACUGCGAAAGCAUUUGCCAAGGAUGUUUUCAUUAAUCAAGAACGAAAGUUAGGGGAUCGAAGACGAUCAGAUACCGUCGUAGUCUUAACCAUAAACUAUGCCGACUAGGGAUCGGAUGAUGUUAAUUUUUUAAUGACUCAUUCGGCGCCUUACG
rnacentral:rRNA from 1 species